rnacentral:hammerhead_ribozyme from 1 species
GGACUGCUGAGGAGCCCCACAAUAGGACGAAACAGUCGUCCAGUGC